rnacentral:rRNA from 1 species
UUGAUCCUGGCUCAGGAUGAACGCUAGCGGCAGGCUUAACACAUGCAAGUCGAGGGGUAUGGUUCUUCGGAACCAGAGACCGGCGCACGGGUGCGUAACGCGUAUGCAAUCUACCUUUUACAGAGGGAUAGCCCAGAGAAAUUUGGAUUAAUACCUCAUAGUAUAGCAGCUUCGCAUGAAGCCACUAUUAAAGUCACAACGGUAAAAGAUGAGCAUGCGUCCCAUUAGCUAGUUGGUAAGGUAACGGCUUACCAAGGCUACGAUGGGUAGGGGUCCUGAGAGGGAGAUCCCCCACACUGGUACUGAGACACGGACCAGACUCCUACGGGAGGCAGCAGUGAGGAAUAUUGGACAAUGGGCGCAAGCCUGAUCCAGCCAUGCCGCGUGCAGGAUGACGGUCCUAUGGAUUGUAAACUGCUUUUAUACGAGAAGAAACACUCCUUCGUGAAGGAGCUUGACGGUAUCGUAAG